rnacentral:rRNA from 1 species
UACGGAGGAGGCAAGCGUUAUCCGGAAUUAUUGGGCGUAAAGCGUCCGCAGGUGGCUAUUCAAGUCUGCGGUCAAAGACUGGGGCUUAACCCUGGAAAGGCCGUGGAAACUGACGAGCUAGAGUGCAGUAGGGGUAGAGGGAAUUCCCGGUGUAGCGGUGAAAUGCGUAGAGCUCGGGAAGAACAUCGGUGGCGAAAGCGCUCUACUGGACUGCAACUGACACUCAGGGACGAAAGCUAGGGGAGCGAAUGGG